rnacentral:rRNA from 1 species
GCCAACGGCCAAAUCAUAUUGAAUUGUUCUAGUCCGAUCACCCAACUUAAGAAACAUCGGACGUGGGUAGCACCUUGUUGGGUGACCACCUAGGAACUCCGCGUGCUUGUUGGCU